rnacentral:rRNA from 1 species
CCGCGGGAUAGAGUUUGAUCCUGGCUCAGAAUCAACGCUGGCGGCGUGCCUAACACAUGCAAGUCGAACGAGAAAAUGGAGCAAUCCAUGAGUAAAGUGGCGCACGGGUGAGUAACACGUGACUAACCUACCCUUGAGUGGGGGAUAACCUAGGGAAACCUGGGCUAAUACCGCAUAAUACCUUCGGGUCAAAGGAGCAAUUCGCUUUAGGAGGGGGUCGCGGCCGAUUAGUUAGUUGGCGGGGUAAUGGCCCACCAAGACUGUGAUCGGUAUCCGGCCUGAGAGGGCGCACGGACACACUGGAACUGAAACACGGUCCAGACUCCUACGGGAGGCAGCAGUGGGGAAUUUUGCGCAAUGGGGGAAACCCUGACGCAGCAACGCCGCGUGGAGGAUGAAGCCCCUUGGGGCGUAAACUCCUUUCGAUCGGGAAGAUAAUGACGGUACCGAGAGAAGAAGCCCCGGCUAACUUCGUGCCAGCAGCCGCGGUAAUACGAGGGGGGCGAGCGUUGUUCGGAAUUAUUGGGCGUAAAGGGUGCGUAGGCGGUUCAGUAAGUCUUGUGUGAAAUCUUCGGGCUCAACUCGAAGUCUGCAUGAGAAACUGCUGGGCUUGAGUGUGGGAGAGGUGAGUGGAAUUCCCGGUGUAGCGGUGAAAUGCGUAGAUAUCGGGAGGAACACCUGUGGCGAAAGCGGCUCACUGGACCACAACUGACGCUGAGGCACGAAAGCUAGGGGAGCAAACAGGAUUAGAUACCCUGGUAGUCCUAGCCCUAAACGAUGAUCGCUUGGUGUGACGGGUACCCAAUCCCGCCGUGCCGAAGCUAACGCGUUAAGCGAUCCGCCUGGGG